GGGACAGCUCGGAGGAGCUGGGGCGGAGCCGCAGGGCCUGGCGGCCGCCGAGUAGAGUGUGACUCCGUGGGCCUGGCGUGGAGGCGGGGGCGCUAGGCUGCAGCUGGCUCGGAAUUGGGGCUGGUUUCCUGUCUGGAAGGGAAGGGGCCUGCAGAAGGGAGCGGGGACAGCAGCAGACAGGCACACCCCUGCCUUCCUCUCUCCCUCUCCUCCCUUCUCUGGAAAAGCGAGCUGGGAGAACAGCUGCCACCAAAGCGAGACUGGACACUCUGUGCCUAGAGCCCCCUCUGCAGCUGGCCUUUCCUCCUGGGACCCCACUCAUCCUCACUUCGCUUUCCUUUUCUUCCCUGCCUGGCUCCCGGCAGGGCCCCGGAGCAGCAGUGGGCGAGGAAAAUUUGUCACAGCAGCCAGAGGGGUUUAACAGGAGUGCAGAGGGAUAAGGGCAGCCUCUGCCCUCUGCCCAAGAGCUGGCCACCUCUUUAAAGACUGAGGGAACAGUGGGAGGAGGAACUGUGGGACAGUGUGGUACCUAUCUGUCCCCCCUCUGGAGGGGUUGACAAGGGAAAGGGCACCGGGGGGCACAGAGAUGCAGGACAGAUUGCACAUCCUGGAGGACCUGAAUAUGCUCUACAUUCGGCAGAUGGCACUCAGCCUGGAGGACACGGAGUUGCAGAGGAAGCUAGACCAUGAGAUCCGGAUGAGGGAAGGGGCCUGUAAGCUGCUGGCAGCCUGCUCCCAGCGAGAGCAGGCUCUGGAGGCCACCAAGAGCCUGCUAGUGUGCAACAGCCGCAUCCUCAGCUACAUGGGCGAGCUGCAGCGGCGCAAGGAGGCGCAGGUGCUGGGGAAGACAAGCCGGCGGUGAGCAAGGGGGAGGCGAGGCCUCGAUGGAGGCAGGAGGCCUUCUGGGUGGUGGUGGUGCAGCGUGUGCGUGUGUGGCAUGUGGACCACCUUAAAGAUGACUUCCCCAUGAAGUCUUAUCAGGGACGUGGGAGAGACCUUGGUGUUUUACCACCACUGUGUGUUGCCCAGAGGCGCAUUUGUGAGUAGCCAGGGCAGGACUUAGAAAAGUCGGUGUGUCUGGUGAAAGGUAGCUGAUCUGAAGGGUAGCAAGUAAUGCAAAAGCACUAAUUUGCUAAGCCCUGUCUGUGAUCCAGUAAGACUGGCUAUCUGGCUUUUGGAAAAUUAAUUUCCUCAACGCUGGUUCACAAAAUCACCAAUUUAUCACAUACUGACAAUAGUUUGUUAUAUCUGGGGUUCACCUUCAGA
rnacentral:sRNA from 1 species